GACGAACGCUGGCGGCGUGCUUAACACAUGCAAGUCGAACGGAAAGGCCCUGCUUUUGUGGGGUGCUCGAGUGGCGAACGGGUGAGUAACACGUGAGUAACCUGCCCUUGACUUUGGGAUAACUUCAGGAAACUGGGGCUAAUACCGGAUAGGAGCUCCUGCUGCAUGGUGGGGGUUGGAAAGUUUCGGCGGUUGGGGAUGGACUCGCGGCUUAUCAGCUUGUUGGUGGGGUAGUGGCUUACCAAGGCUUUGACGGGUAGCCGGCCUGAGAGGGUGACCGGCCACAUUGGGACUGAGAUGCGGGCCAGACUCCUACGGGAGGCAGCAGUGGGGAAUAUUGCACAAUGGGCGGAAGCCUGAUGCAGCAACGCCGCGUGCGGGAUGACGGCCUUCGGGUUGUAAACCGCUUUCGCCUGUGACGAAGCGUGAGUGACGGUAAUGGGUAAAGAAGCACCGGCUAACUACGUG
rnacentral:rRNA from 1 species